rnacentral:rRNA from 1 species
UACGUAGGCAGCAAGCGUUGUUCGGAGUUACUGGGCGUAAAGAGUGCGUAGGCGGUUCCCUAAGUUCGGUGUGAAAUCUCCCGGCUCAACUGGGAGGGUGCGCCGGAAACUGGGGGGCUUGAGUGUGGGAGAGGAAAGCGGAAUUCCUGGUGUAGCGGUGAAAUGCGUAGAUAUCAGGAGGAACACCGGCGGUGUAGACGGCUUUCUGGACCACGACUGACGCUGAGGCACGAAAGCGUGGGGAGCAAACAGG